rnacentral:rRNA from 1 species
AUUGAACGCUAGCGGCAGGCCUAACACAUGCAAGUCGAACGAGUGGCGGACGGGUGAGUAAUGUCUGGGAAACUGCCCGAUAGAGGGGGAUAACUACUGGAAACGGUAGCUAAUACCGCAUACCAUCGGAUGUGCCCAUAUGGGAUUAGCUAGUUGGUGGGGUAAAGGGUCACCUAGGCGACGAUCCCUAGCUGGUCUGAGAGGAGGACCAGCAACACUGGAACUGAGACACGGUCCAGACUCCUACGGGAGGCAGCAGUGGGGAAUAUUGGACAAUGGGCGCAAUCCUGAUGCAGCCAUGCCGCGUGUAUGAAGAAGGCCUUCGGGUUGUAAAGUACUUUCAGCGGGGAGGCGUUACCCGCAGAAGAAGCACCGGCUAACUACGUGCCAGCAGCCGCGGUAAUAC